rnacentral:rRNA from 1 species
AUUGAACGCUGGCGGCAGGCCUAACACAUGCAAGUCGAGCGAGAGGCGGACGGGUGAGGAAUGUAUGGGGACUGCCCGAUCGAGGGGGAUAACUACUGGAAACGGUGGCUAAUACCGCAUACUGUCGGAGAGACCAAAUGGGAUUAGCUAGUAGGUAAGGUAAUGGCUUACCUAGGCGACGAUCCCUAGCUGGUCUGAGAGGAUGAUCAGCCACACUGGGACUGAGACCCGGCCCAGACUCCUCCGGAGGCAGCAGUUGGGAAUAUUGCACAAUGGGCGCAAGCCUGAUGCAGCCCUGCCGCGUGUAUGAAGAAGGCCCUAGGGUUGUAAAGUACUUUCAGUCGGGAGGCGUUACCGACAGAAGAAGCCCCGGCUAACUCCGUGCCAGCAUCCGCGGUAAUAC